rnacentral:sRNA from 1 species
GUUUUGAUGUUUCGGUUUACAGGUUCCAAAAGAAGAAAACGUAGAAGAACAUGAUGAACAUGAUGAGACUGAAGAUCAAGAAGCAUAUGUAAUUUUGUCAGAUGAUGAAGAUAAUGGGACUGCACCCACAGAGAAAGAAUCACAACCUCAAAAAGAAGAAACAACAGAGGUCUGCAUUCCUUAAUUGUUUAAAAAGACAUGAUAAAAUUGU